AACAACCAGUCGCCAUCCAGUUCUAUAGCUGAUAUGCAAGAAGCCGUGAGAAAAUCCAUGGAAGACCAGGCUAUGCGGCAGAUGUUCGUGUCCAUGAUGGAGAACAUGAGUCCUGAUGUGAUGGCAGACUUGAGUCAGAAGUUUGGCAUGAAGCUCUCCAAGGAGGAGGAUGCCAAAGCACAACAAGCUAUGGCUUCAUUAUCUCCAGAAGGUCUAGACAGAAUGAUUAGAUGGACGGCCAGAGCACAGCGAGGAGUAGAAGUAGCAAACAAGACAAAGAACUGGCUCCUAGCCAGGAAGGGCUUGGUCAUUGCCAUUGUCAUGCUGAUCUUGUCCUUGAUCCUCCUGCGUCCUGGAUCGCAGUGUCAAAUCCAUGUUAUGGGUGUGUAG
rnacentral:rRNA from 1 species